rnacentral:rRNA from 1 species
UCAAGCGAAUAAGUGCAUGUGGUGGAUGCCUUGGCGAUUACAGGCGAAGAAAGACGUGUUAGCCUGCGAAAAGCUACGGGGAGCUGGCAAAAAGCUUUGAUCCGUAGAUCUCUGAAUGGGGAAACCCGGCCCGCAAGGGUCACUCCCUGCUGAAUACAUAGGCAGGGUAGAGCGAACCCAGGGAACUGAAACAUCUAAGUACCUGGAGGAAAAGAAAUCAACCGAGAUUCCGAAAGUAGUGGCGAGCGAAAUCGGAACAGCCGGCAACUUUUAGCUUAUGUGUUAACAGAACAGUCUGGAAAGGCUGGCCAUAGUGGGUGAUAGCCCCGUAAGUGAAAACACAGAAGUGGAACUAGGGUUGCGACAAGUAGGGCGGGGCACGAGAAACCCUGUCUGAACAUGGGGGGACCAUCCUCCAAGGCUAAAUACUCGUAAUCGACCGAUAGUGAACUAGUACCGUGAGGGAAAGGUGAAAAGAACCCCGGAAGGGGAGUGAAAUAGACCUGAAACCGCAUGCAUACAAACAGUGGGAGCCCCAGCUUAAUGAACCUUCGGAUUCUUUCGAGGAGCAUCGCGUAGCGAUGUGACUCAAAAGAUUUUAGGGUGAAAUAGAACCUCUUCAGACUUGCCAAGCGUAAGGAAGAGAGGGUUCAUUGAGCUGGGGUGACUGCGUACCUUUUGUAUAAUGGGUCAGCGACUUACAUUCAGUAGCGAGCUUAACCGAAUAGGGGAGGCGCAGCGAAAGCGAGUCUGAUAAGGGCGAUAGUUGCUGGGUGUAGACCCGAAACCAAGUGAUCUAUCCAUGGCCAGGAUGAAGGUGUGGUAACACACACUGGAGGUCCGAACCCACUAAUGUUGAAAAAUUAGGGGAUGAGCUGUGGAUAGGGGUGAAAGGCUAAACAAACUUGGAAAUAGCUGGUUCUCUCCGAAAACUAUUUAGGUAGUGCCUCAUGUAUCACUCUCGGGGGUAGAGCACUGUUAUGGCUAGGGGUCUAUUGCUGACUACCAAACCAUUGCAAACUCCGAAUACCGGGAAGUGCGAGCAUGGGAGACAGACAUCGGGUGCUAACGUCCGGUGUCAAGAGGGAAACAACCCAGACCGCCGAUUAAGGUCCCCAAGACAUAGUUAAGUGGAAAACGAAGUGGGAAGGCUAAAACAGUCAGGAUGUUGGCUUAGAAGCAGCCAUCAUUUAAAGAAAGCGUAAUAGCUCACUGAUCGAGUCGUCCUGCGCGGAAGAUGUAACGGGGCUCAAACUGUGCACCGAAGCUGUGGAUUUGUGUGUCUUUCGGGGCAUGCAGAUGGUAGGAGAGCGUUCCCUAGGCCUGUGAAGGUGCACCGAGAGGUGUGCUGGAGGUAUGGGAAGUGCGAAUGCUGACAUGAGUAGCGAUAAAGCGGGUGAAAGGCCCGCUCGCCGAAAGCCCAAGGUUUCCUGCGCAACGUUCAUCGGCGCAGGGUGAGUCGGCCCCUAAGGCGAGGCAGAAAUGCGUAGUCGAUGGGAAACAGGUUAAUAUUCCUGUACCUCAAUGCAAUGCGAUGUGGGGACGGAGAAGGUUAAGCAAGCCGGGUGUUGGAUGUCCCGGUUCAAGCGUGUAGGAAGACUCUUUAGGCAAAUCCGGAGGGUCAAUUCUGAGGCGUGAUAACGAGUGCUCUAUGAGCGCGAAGUUGCUGAUACCCAGCUUCCAAGAAAAGCCACUAAGCUUCAGUUGUAAUGAGACCGUACCGCAAACCGACACAGGUGGGCAGGAUGAGAAUUCUAAGGCGCUUGAGAGAACUCGGGUGAAGGAACUCGGCAAAUUAGCACCGUAACUUCGGGAAAAGGUGCGCCCCGAUAGAGUGUAGAGACUUGCUCUCGAAGCUCGAUGGGGUUGCAGUGAAAUGGUGGCUGCGACUGUUUAAUAAAAACACAGCACUCUGCAAACACGAAAGUGGACGUAUAGGGUGUGACGCCUGCCCGGUGCUGGAAGAUUAAAUGAUGGGGUGCAAGCUCUUGAUUGAAGUCCCAGUAAACGGCGGCCGUAACUAUAACGGUCCUAAGGUAGCGAAAUUCCUUGUCGGGUAAGUUCCGACCUGCACGAAUGGCGUAACGAUGGCCACACUGUCUCCACCCGAGACUCAGCGAAGUUGAAAUGUUUGUGAAGAUGCAAUCUACCCGUGGCUAGACGGAAAGACCCCAUGAACCUUUACUGUAGCUUUGCAUUGGACUUUGAUGAAAUCUGUGUAGGAUAGCUGGGAGGCGAUGAAGUGGGAACGCCAGUUCUCAUGGAGCCAACCUUGAAAUACCAGCCUGAUGUCAUUGAGGUUCUAACCUAGACCCCUGAACGGGGUUGGGGACCGUGCAUGGUAGGCAGUUUGACUGGGGCGGUCUCCUCCCAAAUUGUAACGGAGGAGUACGAAGGUAUCCUAGGUACGGUCGGACAUCGUACUGAUAGUGCAAUGGCAUAAGCGUGCUUGACUGCGAGACUGACAAGUCGAGCAGGUGCGAAAGCAGGUCAUAGUGAUCCGGUGGUUCUGUAUGGAAGGGCCAUCGCUCAACGGAUAAAAGGUACUCUGGGGAUAACAGGCUGAUUCCUCCCAAGAGUUCAUAUCGACGGGGGAGUUUGGCACCUCGAUGUCGGCUCAUCACAUCCUGGGGCUGUAGCCGGUCCCAAGGGUAUGGCUGUUCGCCAUUUAAAGUGGUACGUGAGCUGGGUUUAAAACGUCGUGAGACAGUUUGGUCCCUAUCUGCCGUGGGCGUUGGAAGUUUGAGGGGGGCUGCUCCUAGUACGAGAGGACCGGAGUGGACGUAUCCCUGGUGUACCGGUUGUGACGCCAGUCGCAUCGCCGGGUAGCUAAAUACGGAAGAGAUAACCGCUGAAAGCAUCUAAGCGGGAAACUUGCCUCAAGAUGAGACUUCCCGAGGGCUUGACCCUCCUAAAGGUUCGUCCAAGACCAGGACGUUGAUAGGCUCGGUGUGGAAGGGCAGUAAUGCCUUGAGCUAACGAGUACUAAUUGACCGUGCGGCUUGAUCCU